UAAGUUAGAAAGGGCGCACGGUGGAUGCCUUGACACUAGGAGUCGAUGAAGGACGGGACUAACGCCGAUAUGCUUCGGGGAGCUGUAAGUAAGCUUUGAUCCGAAGAUUUCCGAAUGGGGAAACCCACCAUACGUAAUGGUAUGGUAUCCUUAUCUGAAUACAUAGGGUAAGGAAGACAGACCCAGGGAACUGAAACAUCUAAAGUACCUGGAGGAAGAGAAAGCAAAUGCGAUUUCCUGAGUAGCGGCGAGCGAAACGGAACAUAGCCCAAACCAAGAGGCUUGCCUCUUGGGGUUGUAGGACAUUCUAUACGGAGUUACAAAGGAACGAGGUAGACGAAGCGACCUGGAAAGGUCCGUCGUAGAGGGUAACAACCCCGUAGUCGAAACUUCGUUCUCUCUUGAAUGUAUCCUGAGUACGGCGGAACACGUGAAAUUCCGUCGGAAUCUGGGAGGACCAUCUCCCAAGGCUAAAUACUCCCUAGUGAUCGAUAGUGAACCAGUACCGUGAGGGAAAGGUGAAAAGCACCCCGGAAGGGGAGUGAAAGAGAUCCUGAAACCGUGUGCCUACAAAUAGUCAGAGCCCGUUAACGGGUGAUGGCGUGCCUUUUGUAGAAUGAACCGGCGAGUUACGAUCCCGUGCGAGGUUAAGCUGAAGAGGCGGAGCCGCAGCGAAAGCGAGUCUGAAUAGGGCGUUUAGUACGUGGUCGUAGACCCGAAACCAGGUGAUCUACCCAUGUCCAGGGUGAAGUUCAGGUAACACUGAAUGGAGGCCCGAACCCACGCACGUUGAAAAGUGCGGGGAUGAGGUGUGGGUAGCGGAGAAAUUCCAAUCGAACCUGGAGAUAGCUGGUUCUCCCCGAAAUAGCUUUAGGGCUAGCCUUAAGUGUAAGAGUCUUGGAGGUAGAGCACUGAUUGGACUAGGGGUCCUCAUCGGAUUACCGAAUUCAGUCAAACUCCGAAUGCCAAUGACUUAUCCUUAGGAGUCAGACUGCGAGUGAUAAGAUCCGUAGUCAAAAGGGAAACAGCCCAGACCGCCAGCUAAGGUCCCAAAGUGUGUAUUAAGUGGAAAAGGAUGUGGAGUUGCUUAGACAACUAGGAUGUUGGCUUAGAAGCAGCCACCAUUUAAAGAGUGCGUAAUAGCUCACUAGUCGAGUGACUCUGCGCCGAAAAUGUACCGGGCUAAAUACACCACCGAAGCUGCGGAUUGAUACCAAUGGUAUCAGUGGUAGGGGAGCGUUCUAAGGACAGUGAAGUCAGACCGGAAGGACUGGUGGAGUGCUUAGAAGUGAGAAUGCCGGUAUGAGUAGCGAAAGACGGGUGAGAAUCCCGUCCACCGAAUGCCUAAGGUUUCCUGAGGAAGGCUCGUCCGCUCAGGGUUAGUCAGGACCUAAGCCGAGGCCGACAGGCGUAGGCGAUGGACAACAGGUUGAUAUUCCUGUACCACCUCUUUAUCGUUUGAGCAAUGGAGGGACGCAGAAGGAUAGAAGAAGCGUGCGAUUGGUUGUGCACGUCCAAGCAGUUAGGCUGAUAAGUAGGCAAAUCCGCUUAUCGUAAAGGCUGAGCUGUGAUGGGGAAGCUCCUUAUGGAGCGAAGUCUUUGAUUCCCCGCUGCCAAGAAAAGCUUCUAGCGAGAUAAAAGGUGCCUGUACCGCAAACCGACACAGGUAGGCGAGGAGAGAAUCCUAAGGUGUGCGAGAGAACUCUGGUUAAGGAACUCGGCAAAAUGACCCCGUAACUUCGGGAGAAGGGGUGCUUUCUUAACGGAAAGCCGCAGUGAAUAGGCCCAAGCGACUGUUUAGCAAAAACACAGCUCUCUGCGAAGCCGUAAGGCGAAGUAUAGGGGGUGACACCUGCCCGGUGCUGGAAGGUUAAGGAGAGGGGUUAGCGUAAGCGAAGCUCUGAACUGAAGCCCCAGUAAACGGCGGCCGUAACUAUAACGGUCCUAAGGUAGCGAAAUUCCUUGUCGGGUAAGUUCCGACCCGCACGAAAGGUGUAACGAUUUGGGCACUGUCUCAACCAGAGACUCGGUGAAAUUAUAGUACCUGUGAAGAUGCAGGUUACCCGCGACAGGACGGAAAGACCCCGUGGAGCUUUACUGUAGCCUGAUAUUGAAUUUUGGUACAGUUUGUACAGGAUAGGCGGGAGCCUUUGAAACCGGAGCGCUAGCUUCGGUGGAGGCGCUGGUGGGAUACCGCCCUGACUGUAUUGAAAUUCUAACCUACGGGUCUUAUCGACCCGGGAGACAGUGUCAGGUGGGCAGUUUGACUGGGGCGGUCGCCUCCUAAAGUGUAACGGAGGCGCCCAAAGGUUCCCUCAGAAUGGUUGGAAAUCAUUCGUAGAGUGCAAAGGCAUAAGGGAGCUUGACUGCGAGACCUACAAGUCGAGCAGGGACGAAAGUCGGGCUUAGUGAUCCGGUGGUUCCGCAUGGAAGGGCCAUCGCUCAACGGAUAAAAGCUACCCCGGGGAUAACAGGCUUAUCUCCCCCAAGAGUCCACAUCGACGGGGAGGUUUGGCACCUCGAUGUCGGCUCAUCGCAUCCUGGGGCUGUAGUCGGUCCCAAGGGUUGGGCUGUUCGCCCAUUAAAGCGGUACGCGAGCUGGGUUCAGAACGUCGUGAGACAGUUCGGUCCCUAUCCGUCGUGGGCGUAGGAAAUUUGAGAGGAGCUGUCCUUAGUACGAGAGGACCGGGAUGGACGCACCGCUGGUGUACCAGUUGUUCUGCCAAGGGCAUAGCUGGGUAGCUAUGUGCGGAAGGGAUAAGUGCUGAAAGCAUCUAAGCAUGAAGCCCCCCUCAAGAUGAGAUUUCCCAUAGCGUAAGCUAGUAAGAUCCCUGAAAGAUGAUCAGGUUGAUAGGUUCGAGGUGGAAGCAUGGUGACAUGUGGAGCUGACGAAUACUAAUAGAUCGAGGACUUAACCA
rnacentral:rRNA from 1 species